rnacentral:misc_RNA from 1 species
CAACCCUCAAGCCCUGCUUGGUGUUGAGGCCCUACGGCAGCCGUAGGCCCCGAAAAUUAGUGGCGGACCCGCCGUGGCUCCGAGCGUAGUAGCUGAAACCUCGCUCGUCGUCCCGCGGUGCGUACCGGCCGUUAACCCCCCAAAUUUAUAA